CACGAAACUGUGUGAGCUAACUAAGAUUGAAACUAUGUUGCAAAAUAGAUCAGAAGUUAUAGUUAGGGGUGAAAGGCUUAUCAAACUCAGUGAUAUCUUGAUUUUUCCAAAAAGUAUUAAGUAUGUUAGAAAGUUUAAAGCGAUAAGGUUUUAAAUAACCAUGAAAUAUGAUUAGUUAAGUAUGUCGAUAUAAAAGUCUACAAAAAUGUAAAUUAAUAUUUAUAAUUGAGAGUUAUGGUGUAUAGGAGAAUAUUUGUCAAUCUUUUCCGAAGUUAAUAAUGUUAAUAUUAGUAAUAUUGAGGUACCAAUAGUGAAUUCGGCAUUAAGCUUUCAACUGUUUACCAAAAACAUAGCUGCGUGAUAGUACACGCAGUAAUUUCUGCUCAAUGAAUAUUUAAAUAGCCGCAGUACCUUGACUGUGCAAAGGUAGCGUAAUCAAUUGUCUUUUAAUUAAAGACGGGUAUGAAGGAAUAUAUGGGGGCUUUCUUUACCAUUGGCAGUAGUAGAAUUUGCUUAUCGAGUGAAAAUACUCGUAGAUAAAUAAUAGACGAGAAGACCCUUGAAAUUUUAAGCAGUUUUUUGUUGGGGCAACAUAGUAGCAGAUAACCUACUGAAAUUAACUAGAAAUUUUGUAGUGUGAAUAAAUUACUCUAGGGAUAACAGCGUAAUCUUUGAUUGUUUGCGACCUCGAUGUUGGAUUAGGGAAUUGUCGCUAGAA
rnacentral:rRNA from 1 species